rnacentral:rRNA from 1 species
UACAGAGGUCUCGAGCGUUAGGCGGAAUCACUGGGCUUAAAGCGCGUGUAGGCGGCAGCGCAAGUCGGGCGUGAAAUCCCACGGCUCAACCGUGGAAGUGCACUCGAAACUGCGCAGCUAGAGUCCUGGAGAGGAAGGUGGAAUGCUUGGUGUAGAGGUGAAAUUCGUAGAUAUCAAGCGGAACACCGGUGGCGAAGGCGGCCUUCUGGACAGUGACUGACGCUGAGACGGCGAAAGCGUGGGGAGCAAACAGG